GUCGAGAAUCUUCGGCAAUGGGCGCAAGCCUGACCGAGCGACGCCGCGUGGAGGACGAAGGCCUUCGGGUUGUAAACUCCUGUCGAGGGGGAGGAAGCCGCGAGGUUGACCGAUCCCUGGAGGAAGCACGGGCUAAGUUCGUGCCAGCAGCCGCGGUAAGACGAACCGUGCGAACGUUAUUCGGAAUCACUGGGCUUAAAGCGCGUGUAGGCGGGUCGGCACGUCGGUCGCUGAAAUCCCCCGGCUCAACCGGGGAAGUGGCGCCGAUACGGCCGGCCUGGAGGGGGGUAGGGGGGCCUGGAACUUCCGGUGGAGCGGUGAAAUGCGUUGAGAUCGGAAGGAACGCCCGUGGCGAAAGCGAGGCCCUGGACCCCAUCUGACGCUGAGACGCGAAAGCCAGGGGAGCGAACGGG
rnacentral:rRNA from 1 species